rnacentral:lncRNA from 7 species
AGAGAUCUUAGUUUGUUAGUUGUGGUCUUUGGUUUAUUGUUAUUGUAAUGUCGGAUGCUGAAUUUUUGAUCUAUGGAUCCAUGAUCAUCUUGGGUUUUUUGCACAGGAAUUAGAUUAUUGGUUGUGGUUUUUGGUUUAUUGUCAUUGCAAUGUAGUAAGCUGAGCCUGUGAUCUAUGAAUUCAUGAACAUCUUGUUAUUUUUUUUGCACAGAUUUUAGUUUAUUAGUUGUGGUCUUUGAUUUAUUGCAAUAUAGGAUGCUGAAUCCAUGAUCUAUGAAUCCAUCAUCAUCUUGAGGUUUUUUUUUUGCACAGAUCUUAGUUCAUCAGUUGUGCGCUUUGGUUUAUUAUCACUGUAAUAUAGGAAGCUGAAUCUAUUAUCUAUGGAUCUGUGAUCAUCUGUUUUUUUUUUGUUCUGGUUGUUGUUUGUUUGGACAUCUUAGUUUACUGGUUGUGGUCUUGGAUUUAGUGUCUUUGUAAUGUAGGUAGCUGAAUCUAUGAUCUGUGGAUUCAUGAUCAUAUUGGUUUUUCUUGCACAGAUCAUAAUUUUUUGGACAUGGACUUUGGUUUAUUAUCAUUGCAGUGUAGAUAGCUGAAUCCAUGAUCAUCUUGUUUUUUGUUUUGUUUUGGGUGGUUUUUUAUUUUUAUUUUUAUUUUUUUUCAGAUAUCUUAAUUUAUUACUUGUGGUCUUUGGUUUAUUGUCAUUGUAAUGUUGGAUGCUGAAUCUGUGAUUUAUGAAUUCAUGAUCAUCUUCUUAUAUUUUUAGCCCAGAUCUUAGUUUAUUGGUUGUGGUUUUUGGUUUAUUGUCACUACAAUGUAGGAAACGAAAUCCAUGAUCUAUGAAUUCAUGAUCAUCGUGCUAUUUUUUUUAGCACAGGUCUUAGUUUGUUAGUUGUUGUCCUUGGUUUAUUAUCAUUGCAGUGUGGAUAGCUGAAUCUGUGAUCUAUGAAUUCAUCAUCAUCUUGGUGUUUUGUUUUUUUGUUGUUGUUGUUGUUUUUUUCUUCAGAGAUCUUAGUUUAUCAGUUGUGGUCUUUGGUUUAUUAUCACUGUAAUGUAGGCAGCUGAAUCUAUGAUCUAUGAAUUUAUGAUCAUCUUGUUAUUCUUUUUAGUUUUUUGCACUGAUCUUAGUUCAUAGGCUGUGGUUUUUGAUUUACUGUCAUUGCAAUGUAGGUAGCUGAAUCCAUGAUCUAUGCAUCCACGAU